GGGGGGGGGGGGGGGGGGGGGGGAGGGGGGGGGGGGGGGGGGGGGGGGUGGUGUGGUCGGCGGGAGCCGGGUGGGUAACGCGUGGGAGGGUGCCCUGCGGUUCGGAAUCAGGGCGGGAAAACUGGGCGAAGACCGGGGACGUGGGAGAGCAGCAAGGGUGAUCGGCCGGAGUAUCGGCCCGCGUCGGGUUAGCUAGGUGGUGAUGUUAUGGCGCACCAAGGCGACGUGCCGUAGCUGGUCUGAGAGGCUGAUCGGCCACCCUGGGUCUGAGACACGGCCCAGACUCCUACGGGAGGCAGCAGUGGGGAAUAUUGGACAAUGGGGCCAACCCUGAUCCAGCCAUGCCGCGUGAGUGAUGCCGGCCUUAGGGUUGUAAAGCUCUUUUCUUCGGGACGAUAAUGACGGUACCGGAGGAAUAAGCCCCGGCUAACUUCGUG
rnacentral:rRNA from 1 species